UUGGGGGGAUUUACCCCUUAGUGGCGAAGCUAACGCGUUAAGUUAUCCGCCUGGGGAGUACGGCCGCAAGGUUAAAACUCAAAGGAAUUGACGGGGACCCGCACAAGCGGUGGAGCAUGUGGUUUAAUUCGAUGCAACGCGAAGAACCUUACCUGGUCUUGACAUCCUGAGAACUUUCUAGAAAUAGAUUGGUGCCUUCGGGAACUCAGUGACAGGUGCUGCAUGGCUGUCGUCAGCUCGUGUCGUGAGAUGUUGGGUUAAGUCCCGUAACGAGCGCAACCCCUAUCCUUAUUUGCCAGCACACCAUGGUGGGAACUAUAAGGAGACUGCCGGUGAUAAACCGGAGGAAGGCGGGGACGACGUCAAGUCAUCAUGGCCCUUACGACCAGGGCUACACACGUGCUACAAUGGGAAGGACAAAGAGCCGCGAAGCCGCGAGGUGUAGCUAAUCUCAGAAACCUUUUCGUAGUCCGGAUUGGAGUCUGCAACUCGACUCCAUGAAGUCGGAAUCGCUAGUAAUCGUAGAUCAGAAUGCUACGGUGAAUACGUUCCCGGGUCUUGUACACACCGCCCGUCAUACCAUGGGAGUGGGUUGCACCAGAAGUGGCUAGUCUAACUUUAUUGAGGACGGUCACCACGGUGUGAUUCAUGACUGGGGUA
rnacentral:rRNA from 1 species